GUAUGCGGUGGACUGCAACAAUAUCCAGAAUAUGCCUACCAUUAUCUUUUACAUUAAUGGAUCUCAGUUCCCACUACCUCCUUCUGCUUAUGUCUCCAAUGACAAUGGCUACUGUGCACUUGCAAUCGAGGCAACAUAUGUGUCUUCCCCAAAUGGGCAGCCUCUGUGGGUCUUGGGCGAUGUCUUCCUUAAAGAGGAUUACUCUAUUUUUGUCAUGGGAAACAACAGGGUUGGUUUUGCACCAUCAGCCUAAAGUGAUGGUACCAAAUACUAAUUUCCUGUCUGGAUUAAUGAGCUGAUUGUUUGGACUCUAACAAAAUAUUUCUGAUUAAAUGUGUACAGCAAAUUGUAUGUUUUUCAAUAUUUACGUACAACCUCAGCCACUUUAUAUACAGUUUGUUCACUUAAGAUCCAUUGCUACACAGAAAUAAAUUCUAACCAGCCAAACUUUUCUUA